rnacentral:rRNA from 1 species
AACGAACGCUGGCGGCGCGCCUAACACAUGCAAGUCGAGCGCCUUGCCUUCGGGUGGGGAGCGGCGCACGGGUGAGUAACGCGUGGGAAUCUACCCUGGGGUUCGGGACAACGGCGGGAAACUGCCGCUAACACCGGAUACGGCCUUUUGGCGAAAGUUUACGCCCUGGGAUGAGCCCGCGUCCGAUUAGCUAGUUGGUGGGGUAACGGCCCACCAAGGCUGCGAUCGGUAGCCGGUCUGAGAGGAUGAUCGGCCACACUGGGACUGAGACACGGCCCAGACUCCUACGGGAGGCAGCAGUGGGGAAUCUUGGACAAUGGGCGCAAGCCUGAUCUAGCCAUGCCGCGUGAGCGAUGAAGGCCUUAGGGUCGUAAAGCUCUUUCAGUGGGGAAGAUAAUGACUGUACCCACAGAAGAAGCCCCGGCUAACUCCGUG